UUUAAUGCUUACAUUGAGCACAGAACUGAAAGAAUGCAUGGUGGUUAACGCUUACCUGGAAAGCAGUCAUCCAAUGGACACGUCUUUUAACCUCACCCAGACUUCCUGCCUCUGUAACGAUUCCCCAAGACACUUAUACUGGCAAUUUGUAGCCAAUGAAACCAUGACUAUAGAGGCUCAUGCUGACGCUGUUUCAGAACUUGGCAUCUGCCCUGACGAUGAGGCAGUGGUACCAAUAGUGGGAAGUCACGCUUCUAUGGAGAAG